UGCAGUCGAGGGGCAGCAUGGUCUUAGCUUGCUAGGCCGAUGGCGACCGGCGCACGGGUGAGUAACACGUAUCCAACCUGCCGUCUACUCUUGGACAGCCUUCUGAAAGGAAGAUUAAUACAAGAUGGCAUCAUGAGUCCGCAUGUUCACAUGAUUAAAGGUAUUCCGGUAGACGAUGGGGAUGCGUUCCAUUAGAUAGUAGGCGGGGUAACGGCCCACCUAGUCUUCGAUGGAUAGGGGUUCUGAGAGGAAGGUCCCCCACAUUGGAACUGAGACACGGUCCAAACUUAUACGGGAGGCAGCAGUGAGGAAUAUUGGUCAAUGGGCGAGAGCCUGAACCAGCCAAGUAGCGUGAAGGAUGACUGCCCUAUGGGUUGUAAACUUCUUUUAUAAAGGAAUAAAGUCGGGUAUGCAUACCCGUUUGCAUGUACUUUAUGAAUAAGGAUCGGCUAACUCCGUGCCAGCAGCCGCGGUAAUACGGAGGAUCCGAGCGUUAUCCGGAUUUAUUGGGUUUAAAGGGAGCGUAGAUGGAUGUUUAAGUCAGUUGUGAAAGUUUGCGGCUCAACCGUAAAAUUGCAGUUGAUACUGGAUAUCUUGAGUGCAGUUGAGGCAGGCGGAAUUCGUGGUGUAGCGGUGAAAUGCUUAGAUAUCACGAAGAACUCCGAUUGCGAAGGCAGCCUGCUAAGCUGCAACUGACAUUGAGGCUCGAAAGUGUGGGUAUCAAACAGGAUUAGAUACCCUGGUAGUCCACACGGUAAACGAUGAAUACUCGCUGUUUGCGAUAUACUGCAAGCGGCCAAGCGAAAGCGUUAAGUAUUCCACCUGGGGAGUACGCCG
rnacentral:rRNA from 1 species